GAAAGUGGUCAGGUUGUGUAUAGAAUCCCUUAUUUCUAUAUUGUUGAUGUUCGAUGCAUUACAUGAAUGACAUGGUCACUAUAAUCCCAUGAAGAAUUAAAAAAAUUGCUAUACCCAAUCCCUUGGUGUAUAGAUCACUAAUAUAUACUCGAAGUUUUCUAUCUCUAAUCCACCAGCGUAAACAAGAUUAGAAAAUGCAAUAGAACAUUAUUUUCUAAGCCACUACUCAAAUUUCCUAUCUCUAGUCCACCAGCGUAAGCACAAUAAUUGCCUUAGGUCCAACACAUAGAUUAAUGGAUAGUAUUCCCAUUGUGCACUGUAAUACCCCAAAAUUUACCCUUCAUUUUUCCUGGAAGCAUGCG
rnacentral:lncRNA from 1 species